AUGUAUAUAUCUAAUAUAAGAGCUGGGUUCUUACCUCAGUAAUGUGGGUUUCCACUGUACAUU
rnacentral:tRNA from 1 species